AUCAGCAGCUAUAUCACCCUGCAGCUCAAAACUGGCAGCCCACUGAAGCUCAGCGGGUGUAAGCCUGGUCAGUACCGGGAUGGGAGACUUCCUGCGAAAGCUUAGGUUGCUGCUGGAA
rnacentral:rRNA from 1 species